AGAUGUUAGUGAGACGUCCUAUGGGGAAAAACAAAGCCAGAUGGGGAACGGGGAUGUUGGGAUGGUUUGUGAUUUUCAACCGGGUGAACAGGCUGGGAGGGCCUCACUGAGAAGGUCACAUUUCGCAGAGGCCUGAAGGAGCCAGGAGAGAGGUACCAGCAGCACCUAAUGGGUAGAGGCUGAGGCUGAGGAUACACAUUCUACAAAGAAGAACAGUCCCAACAACGGAGAAUGAUCCUGCCCCAAAUGUCAACAGUGCUGACGCUGAGAAACCCUGCCUCAGUCUGUGCGGCCGCACAAAGGUUGAGCAGGGAUUUUAGCUCUUGUCACUAAAGCUUCAGGGAACUCUGAAGAGAGAUGAAUUGUCUCCAAGAUUCUUCUGGCUCAGACAUCCCCUCGGUCUGUAAACGGAACAGGCACACUCUGGAGAAGACACCUUUGGAUGCUUUCGCUGUGGUGGAAUUAUGAAGGAGGACAAGAAAAUGCAGGCACAGGUGCCCUAUGCGCGUGCACGAAACACACUCACACACACACACACACACACACACACAGCACUGGACGUGCCAUUCGCCAUUGCAGUGACAGCUAAGAGGCACCUAUUUCUCCCAUGAAGGCAUUUCCUACUGAAACGGGUCACACUGCAUGCAGUCCUCCCACCAAGAUCUGCAGGCCUGGGGGUCACCCCAGCCCAGAGGUUAGAGGUGACACUUCAGACACUUGAAGGCCAGCAGUAAAACUGGUAACUCGAGGGCCUUAUCCUUGCUCAUAGCCGGGGAGAAGAACCCAUCAGGGCCUGUCUGGUCUGGUGGGAGCGGAGCCACGCGGCUGUCCUGUUGGGGCCUCACGCUGACUCAACCAGAGGCCCCUUUGGUGUAAAUCCGCCUCCUUUAAGGGCUCAGAGUCAGGCCUUUCAUAGAAGCCAUCUGUAUAAACAAAGUAUUUCGGGGUCUAAAAAAGUGGUUUCUUCUCUGGGCAAGACCUUUUGAACUAACUGUCCCCUCACUCCAGCUCCCUCCUGUGCUGAAAAAGAUCAAGACUGGGCAAAAAGAAACAUGUCAUUUUAGUCCACAUUUCUUAAGAAAACAAAAACACAUUUGAAUUCCUCUCCUCCCUGUGGGAGGAGACUGUUGGCCCUGUGCCUGGUUCUGGAAGGCUCUGGAUCUCAAGCUGAGGGGACGGCCUCCUCAGAAGACUUUCUCCUGACCUCUGACCUCUGACCUCCAGCUUUGACUUUUCCUGUUUCCCUGCAUCCUGACUCCCCACAUCUUCUGGGCGCGUCUCUGAGCCUCCGUCUGGUCCACGCAGGAAGGCAACAAAGUUCACAGCAUAAAUAUUCAGCUUAAAGAUCUCGGGGGGCGUUUGGGGGAGGCUCCUGGCUGUGGGGUUCCAGGCACAGCUGACCCCUCAGCUCUUCCAACAGCAUCAUCCUGCUCCCGCCUGCCUGUCCUCCACGACCACCUCCCUCAGCCCCACAAUCCAGGGCAGCCGACAGUGGUACCUAGAGGGGGCUGGGUGGGGAGGCUCCCCCACAGUGGCUGCCAUCCCUCCCCAAAGCACCCCGAUAAACACACAAUCUAGGCCAGUGCCAGUGCAGCUGGCCUUAGUAGGCUGCCCCUUCAGACCGGACCGCUGGCCCCCAGCUCCUCCCACAGAGACCAUCCAGGCCCACCAUGUAAAGCUCCGGCCUCGUUCGCAGCAAAGGUUAACAUCCGGGGAUCUGAGCCAGACUUGCGUUUGAAAUCUGCCGAUUCUUACUUAGCUGGAUGGCCAAUGCGUAAGGUGCUUUGGUUCUUUGAGCCUCUCAUUUCCUCCCUGUAAAAUGAGGUAACGUCAGUGGUUCUCAACUGAGGGUGAUUGGCCCCCCUGGGAAGCAUUUGGAAAAGCCUGGAGGCAUUUUUGUCUGUCACAACUUGGGAGUGGGGGGUGCUGCUAUUGGCAUCUGGUGGGUAGAGGCCGGGGACACUGGUAAAUCGCCUGCACAGCAGAGAAUGAUCCAGCACAGACAUCGACGGUGUCGAGGCUGAGGGACGCUUGGGGAAAGAGAUCCCCACACGGCAGGGUUGCUAGGGAGGACCAAGUUCACCAAGCAGCUAAUACAGGGUCUGGCCCGUGCUAAAUACCCAGUCCUGCCAGUGUAGUUAAUAUUAUAAUGGGGCGCCUGGGGGGCUCAGUCGGUGAAGCGUCCGGCUUCGGCUCAGGUCAUGAUUUCGCGGUCUGUGAGUUCAAGCCCCGCG